rnacentral:rRNA from 1 species
AAUAGAUACCCUGGUAGUCCACGCCGUAAACGGUGGGCGCUAGGUGUGGGGGACUUUCCACGUCCUCUGUGCCGCAGCUAACGCAUUAAGCGCCCCGCCUGGGGAGUACGGCCGCAAGGCUAAAACUCAAAGGAAUUGACGGGGGCCCGCACAAGCGGCGGAGCAUGUGGCUUAAUUCGACGCAACGCGAAGAACCUUACCAAGGCUUGACAUGCAGGGAAAUCUCGUAGAGAUACGGGGUCCGCAAGGGCUCUGCACAGGUGGUGCAUGGUUGUCGUCAGCUCGUGUCGUGAGAUGUUGGGUUAAGUCCCGCAACGAGCGCAACCCUUGUCCUAUGUUGCCAGCGUGUAAUGUCGGGGACUCAUAGGAGACUGCCGGGGUCAACUCGGAGGAAGGUGGGGAUGACGUCAAAUCAUCAUGCCCCUUAUGUCUCGGGCUGCACACAUGCUACAAUGGUCGGUACAAAGGGCUGCGAGACCGCAAGGUGGAGCGAAUCCCGAAAAAGCCGGCCUCAGUUCGGAUUGGGGUCUGC